rnacentral:rRNA from 1 species
ACACUCCUGCGGGAGGCAGCAGUGGGGAAUUUUGGACAAUGGGCGAAAGCCUGAUCCAGCAAUGCCGCGUGAGUGAAGAAGGCCUUCGGGUUGUAAAGCUCUUUUGUCAGGGAAGAAACGGUGAGAGCUAAUAUCUUUUGCUAAUGACGGUACCUGACGAAUAAGCACCGGCUAACUACGUGCCAGCAGCCGCGGUAAUACGUAGGGUGCAAGCGUUAAUCGGAAUUACUGGGCGUAAAGCGUGCGCAGGCGGUUUUGUAAGUCUGAUGUGAAAUCCCCGGGCUCAACCUGGGAAUUGCAUUGGAGACUGCAAGGCUAGAAUCUGGCAGAGGGGGGUAGAAUUCCACGUGUAGCAGUGAAAUGCGUAGAUAUGUGGAGGAACACCGAUGGCGAAGGCAGCCCCCUGGGUCAAGAUUGACGCUCAUGCACGAAAGCGUGGGGAGCAAACAGGAUUAGAUACCCGUGUAGUCCC